rnacentral:lncRNA from 1 species
GAGGAGGUAAGGUCCAAGGAAGAGGAGGAAAGAGGUACAGAGACCAUCUCGCUGUCUUGGCAGAGGUGAAGCUGUGCAUGGUCAUGGAACCCCAGGGUGUGCUAGGACCUUGGAACCAUUCAGAGAAGUCUGUCUCUUUCACGUCGCUGAAACUCCGCAUGUUCUACGUGCAGAGAGUGAGAGAGCACAAGCAGUGGGAACAAGAGAAAGAGUGGGAGAAGCAGUCUACCUGCUGAGCAGGCAGCCUGAAUGCAGGGCUCGAUCCGAGGACCCUGAGAUCAUGACCUGAGCUGAAGGCACACACCUAACCAACUAAGCCACCCAGGAAACCCCAAAAUGUCAAAAUUUUAAAUAAAAACAGUAUCUGACUGUGCCAAAACUAAGUCAUAUUAGAGUCUGAGACAAAAAUAAAAAUGUGUGCCCCUAAACACAUGUUUUUAUGUAUUUUGUUUGGUUUUUAUGUAUUUUUAAAUGGUUGUUUUCUGGACCAUUAAGAUAGCUUUAAAAAAUACUGACAAGUUG